rnacentral:lncRNA from 1 species
UGGAAUUAACUGCAUUGCACUCAGUUGUUUUGCUAUAACCAAGCUGUGUUGUUGUGUGCUAGAUUUUGAUACAAAAGUAUUACAUAGCUUUACUUCUAAUGCAGAUGGUGAAACUUAGAAAUACACUGUCCUGCCUACUGCAUUAUGCUGUCAGCUCUUGGACGUCAUUGUCUGGAUGAAGAUGAUGCUUGGACUGUAACUUCCAGAAUUUGUCAUUGAAGCAAACAGUUUCAGAAGAUGCAUAAGGAGAACACACAGAACAAUGGUGCAAACUUUCCAGUCAAAAUUGGAAAGCAAAACAGGGAUUAGUUCUCAGCAACAAAAAUGUAAAGAAAUGGAGUGGAACCCUGAGGAGCAGAUGGAGCUGGGAGAGAUGCAUGGAUAUAUCUACAUUGAGAAACCCCUUGGAAUAUCUUUGCUGUUAGGACAGAGUUGUCUUUGCUGUUGUAGGUUGCCAGAUGUUUAGAGGGGAGGCAGGU